rnacentral:rRNA from 1 species
ACAACUUUCAGCAAUGGAUCUCUUGGCUCUCGCAUCGAUGAAGAACGCAGCGAAUUGCGAUAUGUAAUGUGAAUUGCAGAUCUACAGUGAAUCAUCGAAUCUUUGAACGCACAUUGCGCUCCUCGGUGUUCCGAGGAGCAUGCCUGUUUGAGUGUCAGUAAAUUC